CUCCAGGUAUUUCUUUCUUCUCGUUGCUUUUUUUGGUUGUGAUGCACUGGAUAUUUGGUUCUCUUUCUCAGUUUUGGUCUUUUCCCAUUUUAGAUCUUUGAGGGAGGGGGUGUUCUAAUUAUGGUUCUUGUGCUAGGAUCUCAUUUUGGUGAAACAAUGAAAGUUAAGAAGGUCAAAUAUACUGAGAAAAAAGAUAAGUAA
rnacentral:lncRNA from 1 species